CUUUUCUCUCAUGCCAACUUUCAUAGUGACGUAGAACUAUUCAGCAAAUGAUACUUCACGAGGACAUAUAACAAAAUAUGUUGCCACAAUAAUUAGCUAUAAGGGGAAAAAAAAUUUACAGUAAAUUCAAGAACAAGAGAGCUAGCUUAUGGGCUCUUCAGAAUCACCACUACUUAAUUCUGCUAAUCAAAUUUUUUUCCUACAACAAAAAAGGGAAUCGAUCCCAUGAGAGGAAAAAAAGUACAGAAAGGAUCCAUAUAGGAAUCUCUCUAUAUAUGGAAAUGCAUAACAGAGCUCAGUUUUUUUCUCCAUCUUAGAUUACAUCACAUGCUGCUGUUUGAAUGAAUAAAACUGAAUAUCUGUUGAACCGAACUUGCUAUAUCUUCUGCUGUGAACCUAGAUUCACUUUCAAUCUUGACAUUGAAUGAAUAGAGAACAGUUUGUUCAAUGGUGGUAAUGUUGAUGUGGAGGAUGUUAAGCUCCAAAUCUUCUAGAGCCGCGAUGGUGUUAAUGAGCUGACCUGGCCUUCUCCUAGAUAGGAUCUUGAUCAUGGCAUCAAACCCUAAAAGCUUCACCUCAACAUCAGCCAGGCAGGACUUGUUCUCAGCAGUUUCCUCGCGGAGUUCAGUUUCGAAGUCUACAAGUUUCAUAUGAUCAUCUGGAAGAGGCAAAGGGGGAAACAAUGGAGGUUGAGGUUGCUGGAUUGCAAGAGAGGAAUGUCCCAUCUGUCUUGAAGCUUCGCCAUAGAGUCUUCGCCUCUUUUGAGAUUCUAGGCAUUGAAGGAGUUGCUCCAAUUCCCUAACGAACUCAAUGGCUCCACCAAUAAUAGAAGCAUGAUCUCCCUGCAAAAAAAUUACAGACAACCCAAUCUUGUUUUAGUAUUUUCUUCUUUGAAUAAUACAACGAAGAAAAAACAAUGAAUGAACGAGAGGGUUUCAGAUCCAAGAAAGGUUUUGAUGAAAAACAGCCAAUUGUGAGAUCUUUUCAAGGAAGCAACAUUUAAAAUUUGAUACCCUUUGCACACAAGAUCCUGGCAUGAGAGACCUCAAAACUCGAAGAUGCUCAUUCAUUUGCUUCCUUCGAUUUCUUUCCACUGCAAUAUGAGCCAUUCUUUGGCUUUCCACUUCCUCACUUGUCUUGAUAGUCCUUGGCCUUUUCCGCUUGUUCUUCGCCUCCGGUAUAGGGUUCUUGUUUUGAAGAUCUUGAUCUCCAAGUAACUGGAGUUGCACCGAAGUAUUAUCCGAAAUCCUAGCUUCUACUUCCUCUCUAACAACCCUAUCUUCUCUCACAAAUCCUGCUUUAUUUUCCACACUACUCCCUCCUUUAAAUCUCUCUUCAUUUUCUCCACCUAGUUGAGGAACCAUUAGAGACUGUCCCUCCCUCUUAUCGUUCAAUACAGGAAACUUCAGGAAGUAAACUGGAUCAAUACCAGUUUCUACCUCAGAUAUCUUAGUUUGAUUUAAGGCCAACUUAGGCCCAAAAUCUGAAAAUUGCAUAACAUCUGCGAAGCUCAAUUUAUCAAGGGAAGUUGAAAUGCAAAACUCAUAUGAUAGCUGUUGCUGAUGAGGAUGAGGAUUAUUGAGCAUAUAAUCGAUCAUUCCGUUGCUGCUAUCGCCAGAACCUUCACCAAUUCGAGACUUAAUGAGUUCGUGAUCUUGUUGUUGAUGGUGAUGAUGGUGGUUCAGAGAGUAAUCUAGACCAGUAAAGGUUACCGAGUAGUUGUCUUCUUUAUCCAUUGCUUUUAUAAAUGGAUAACUUUAAUCGAAAACCCUAAAGUGACACUCAAUUCAUGCAAGGACAAAACCCUAGUGAAAUUUCCCAAUGGGUCGUCCUCCUGAUUGGAGAGAGAGAGAGAGAGAGAUCAGAGAGGGUAUAAUAAGACAAUGGUAGAAAAUGAAGGUGGGGUUAUGUCAUUAGAAGAGCAGAAGGUAGCAUGGGGGUACCACCAUGGAAAUAGAUAUUUUAUAUAUAAUAAC
rnacentral:misc_RNA from 1 species